GGAGAGGUGGCCGAGUGGUCGAAGGCGCCCGCUUGCUAAGCGGUUGUCCGUGUAAAAGCGGACCGGGAGUUCGAAUCUCCCCCUCUCCG
rfam:Candidate division WOR-3 bacterium 4484_100 ex4484_100_scaffold_4896, whole genome shotgun sequence.